AACGAACGCUGGCGGCAUGCCUAACACAUGCAAGUCGAACGUGAAGCCACCUUCGGGUGGUGGAAAGUGGCAGACGGGUGAGUAACGCGUGGGAACGUGCCUUUCGGUUCGGGAUAACCCAGGGAAACUUGGGCUAAUACCGGAUACGCCCUCCGGGGGAAAGAUUCAUUGCCGAAAGAUCGGCCCGCGUCGGAUUAGCUAGUUGGUGGGGUAAAAGCCUACCAAGGCGACGAUCCGUAGCUGGUCUGAGAGGAUGACCAGCCACACUGGGACUGAGCCACGGCCCAGACUCCUACGGGAGGCAGCAGUGGGGAAUAUUGGACAAUGGGCGCAAGCCUGAUCCAGCCAUGCCGCGUGGGUGAAGAAGGCCCUAGGGUUGUAAACCCCUUUCAGCGGGGAAGAUAAUGACGGUACCCGCAGAAGAAGCCCCGGCUAACUCCGUGCCAGCCGCCGCCGUAAUAC
rnacentral:rRNA from 1 species